AUGGAGAAAUUGGUACAUAAAUGUUUUAUCAAACCGGAAUGCUCUGUAAAAUGUCUCUUAAUGGGCAUGUGGGUAUGUCUAUUUCUUGAUCUGCACUUUUUCUAUUCCAUGGUUGAUCACUUAUGUUGGAAAUCUAUCAAAAUCUAUGAUGCAUUUCUACCAAUCUUGAUGAACAAGAUUGAUAUCACCACACAAUGA